GUGUUCACAAUUUUAAUAGGGUAUUCUGUCUCAGGACAAUCAAAAGCCUUCAACAUGAAGUCCGAGGCUAACAAAAGAAAAGAUAAUAGCUCAUUCAGGAAAACUGUGAGCAAUAUAUCCAGACAUUCUAGACCCUUGCUACUCAAAGUGUGGACUCAGCUGCAUCAGUAUCACCUGGGAGCUUGUUGGAAUUAUAGAAUCUCGGCCCCACCCGAGAGCUACUGACUCAGGUCUUAAGUACUUUUCUGCACUUUUUCACCCUCCUUUCUCUAAAGGUAAGUGUUAGAAAUGGAAACCUCCUUACUUCCGGCUUGUAUUCAAAAAGAAGCUGAUCUCCGGUGAGAAAGUCCUGCAGUGGGUACAGCUGCAUGUUUUCACAGAUGUUUUCCACAUACUCAACUGGAUCUGUCUGGAAAG